UACGUAGGGUGCGAGCGUUGUCCGGAUUUAUUGGGCGUAAAGAGCGUGUAGGCGGCCUGAAAGGUCAGCUGUGAAAACUCGAGGCUCAACCUCGAGACGUCGGUUGAAACCAUCUGGCUAGAGUCCGGAAGAGGAGAGUGGAAUUCCCGGUGUAGCGGUGAAAUGCGCAGAUAUCGGGAAGAACACCCGUGGCGAAGGCGGCUCUCUGGGACGGUACUGACGCUGAGACGCGAAAGCGUGGGGAGCGAACAGG
rnacentral:rRNA from 1 species